AACACUGACUGGAGGACCGAACCCACUCCCGUUGAAAAGGUAGGGGAUGACUUGUGGAUCGGAGUGAAAGGCUAAUCAAGCUCGGAGAUAGCUGGUUCUCCUCGAAAGCUAUUUAGGUAGCGCCUCAUGUAUCACUCUGGGGGGUAGAGCACUGUUUCGGCUAGGGGGUCAUCCCGACUUACCAAACCGAUGCAAACUCCGAAUACCCAGAAGUGCCGAGCAUGGGAGACACACGGCGGGUGCUAACGUCCGUCGUGAAAAGGGAAACAACCCAGACCGCCAGCUAAGGUCCCAAAGUUGUGGUUAAGUGGUAAACGAUGUGGGAAGGCUUAGACAGCUAGGAGGUUGGCUUAGAAGCAGCCAUCCUUUAAAGAAAGCGUAAUAGCUCACUAGUCGAGUCGGCC
rnacentral:rRNA from 1 species